AUGCCUUAAACUUAUGAGUAAGGAAAAUAAUGAUUUAGGGUGAUGCUCGAAUCCUCACUGCUUAUGUGAGAUAAACGUUUGAGCAGGUUAAGGCCGCCCC
rfam:Otolemur garnettii contig019895, whole genome shotgun sequence.